GACGAACCGAGCGACCGUUGUUCGGAAUCACUGGGCUUAAAGGGCGCGUAGGCGGGUGCUCAAGUCCGGGGUGAAAUCCUCCAGCUCAACUGGAGAACUGCCUCGGAUACUGGGUGCCUCGAGGGUGGUAGGGGUAUGCGGAACUAUCGGUGGAGCGGUGAAAUGUGUUGAUAUCAUCAGGAACUCCGGUGGCGAAGGCGGCAUGCUGGACCUUCACUGACGCUGAGGCGCGAAAGCUAGGGGAGCGAACGGG
rnacentral:rRNA from 1 species